AUCUGUUUUAAGAACCAGUAACUUAUGAGAAAUUCAUCAUGGCUGUUUUCAUUUGAUAUUGUUUCUUCAAAAAUCAAGAAUAGCUUUUUGUUCAUUGAUUAACUAAAUUGAAAUGUUCAAGAAAUAUUCUGUGAGAAUUUGUGAUAUUCAGUGAGAUCGUAAUAAAUCGUUGAUAUUUAAUUUGUCAUUCAUUGCUCGUUAAACGGUACUUAACUUUUGAAAGUGAAAUGCAAAACGAAAAACAAAUUACUAUGAAGAAUUAAAAAAUUCUCUAAUCCGAUAUUCCUUGCCUUACUCAACUAUCACACAGAAUGGAUUUUCAUCGGAAGUUACGUGUGCCAGGCGAGGUUGAACAAAGUCCCUUAGAGGAAAUUGCGGAAGGAAAUGAAAUCGCAACCGGUUGUUACAAAUUUUUAGUUGCAGUCAUAUAUCUUGACCGUUUCCUGAAGAAACGGAGCACUGUUAUCCUAGAACGAGGCUCAUAGAGAGCGCGUUUACUCAACCGUGUCAGCUCAAGUUCCGGACUUUCUUGCGAUCGAGGAUGCGCCACGCAUACCGCCCUCGAAAUUAAAUGUAAUUUUAGAUCUUAUGACAACCUAUUGAACAAGAGAAUCGUUCUUCUGCAUCGUCGAGCAAUUUUGGUACUCUAUUUAUGGCCUCUAUUCAUAUUUAUGACUAUUUUUACAAUCUUUUAAAGCGGAUUUUUAAUCUAUCAAAUCUUAUCAAAUUUUCCAAGAAAAUAAUAAUAAUAAUAAUUUCAGUCAUUAAAAGAUAAGUUACUAUAAUUUUCACUUUUUUUUUUUAAUAUUGAACAUAAUAUCAUUUAAGAAAAACAUAAGAGAAAAUAAAAUAAUGUGAUAGAAAGAUCGAAAA